rnacentral:lncRNA from 1 species
CGAGAGGGAGUGAACUGCAUAAAUACACCCUGGGAGGAAGAGAAGUAUCUGUUUCCCGCAAGGAAUUUUGGCACCUAAGAAGCCCUUUUUUACACAAGACAGCUGUAUAAAGAAAGCAAAUACUGCGUCUUUCACUAUACUGGGACUGAGAGACCUCCUGACCAAAAACCUUGCUCAUGGUCAUCGGACAUUUUAUUUUCUGAGGUACACUGUGAUUACGACGACUGUCCUGAGGGCUGGGACUCCGUCCACAAGCUGCUUUCCUGAACAAAUGUAUUUGGGUAUAGUCAAUCAAAGGGAAGAAGGAUGUCAAAGGACUGGCCUUACUUGCUAUAGGAGUCUGCAGAGCUACUGCAGAAUGAACUUAUUUCAUCACAACUAUAUCAGUUAUCUGUCAUCAGCAGAAAAAGGAAAGCAUGGAAGAAAUGUUUUUGUAAAGGGCUGA